rnacentral:rRNA from 1 species
ACCAAUCCGUCGGCGUCGGGCGGGCUGACGGUGGUUUUCGGUUUUUACUACCGACGUACACAAAAAUCUUCUUAGAGGGACAGGCUGCGUCUAGCCGCACGAGAUUGAGCAAUAACAGGUCUGUGAUGCCCUUAGAUGUCCGGGGCCGCACGCGUGCUACACUGAAGUGGUCAUCGUGCAUACUGUUUCCUGCUCCGAAAGGAGUGGGUAACCGCUUGAACCCAUUUCGUGAUGGGGAUUGGGCAUUGUAAUUAUUGCCCAUGAACGAGGAAUUCCCAGUAAGCGCGAGUCAUAAGCUCGCGUUGAUUACGUCCCUGCCCUUUGUACACACCGCCC